rnacentral:rRNA from 1 species
GACGAACGCUGGCGGCGUGCUUAACACAUGCAAGUCGAACGGGAGUAUUGAAGAAGCUUUGCUUUAGAGAUACUUUAGUGGCGGACGGGUGAGUAACGCGUGAGGAGCUGUCCUAUGCAGGGGGACAACAGCUGGAAACGGCUGCUAAUACCCCAUAAGCCGAGAGGUAAAAGGAUCAAUCCGGCAGAGGAGGUACUCGCGUCCUAUCAGCUAGUAGGUGAGGUAACGGCUCACCUAGGCGAAGACGGGUAGCCGGCCUGAGAGGGCGAACGGCCACACUGGAACUGAGAUACGGUCCAGACUCCUACGGGAGGCAGCAGUGGGGAAUAUUGGGCAAUGGGGGAAACCCUGACCCAGCGACGCCGCGUGGGUGAAGAAAUCCUUCGGGAUGUAAAGCCCUGUUGUAUGGGAAGAGCGGAAGACGGUACCAUACGAGGAAGCCCCGGCAAACUACGUG